CCAUGGGGUCGAGCUCCGCGAGCAGCGGGGGAGCGGCGUGCGGCGGGGAGGCGGCUCUAGGAAACCACAAGUUCAUCUACAACAUCUCGCUCAAUAUCCGGUGCCUCUUCGACUUCCUCACAUCCGGUUUACCAGGCUAAACUUCGCUCCAAUGGGAAGGUUGUUGCUGUCAAAGUACAAAGACCUGGUGUUCAAGCAGCAAUUUCAUUGGACAUAUCUAUCUUGAGGUUCCUAGCUAGUCUUGCAAGGAAGGCUGCCAAGUUGAACACAGACCUCCCGGCUGUGCUUGAUGAGUGGGCAUCAAGCCUAUUCCGGGAGAUGGAAAAGAGAAGAAGCAAGAAAUGGACUUAAGUUCCGAACUGUUGGAUGUUUGGCCAAGCAAAAGGAAAUAUGAGGAUGACAGUGAUUCAUUUGAUGAGCCCUUAGGGGGAAUGAUCAAGGAACAUACUAAGGCAAUUCGCGAAUCAUUAAUUUACUAUCUUUGUACACAUGAGGAAAACAAGGUUGUACCUAUUGAGGUAAAGAACAAAGCCAAACAACAUGGUGUAAUUCUAGAGAACAAUAUUGCAGGGACCAGAAGGAGCCACACUUGAAGAUUUCAAACAGGCAUCAUCACGUUGUUAGACCACUAAGAAAUGUCAAAAAAAAGUUUGUAGGAAUAAAAUAUUUCUAUUUUUAAUGCGCGCCCAAAUUCUAUUGGUUAUUGAAUAGUUGUAAUCCUUUAUUAUAUAUAUAUGGAGACAGUAAGGUGUUGACGUUCA